AGCCCAUUCUCCUAGCUGCCAGGUUUGAAGUCACGCUUGAAAAACACAAGUAAAAGGGGGUUUGUUAGUUCUAAGAUACCUAGAGGAGCAGAGUGACGGCACUGUAAUUAGAUAGAAAAAAGAAAAAAAAAGCUACAGGGGAGUAGGGUGGAGAGGACGACGGCUGUACUAAGAGUUAGGAGUGGACGAUUCUUGCAAUUCAACAUUGGUGCUCAGAUUGAGGACAUUGGAGGUCGUUUGGUUGGUGUUCUAGGCUUUGCAAAGUUAGGGAACUUCCCGUUAGCGAGAUACCGUUGCGGGAGAUAGAGCUAGUGGCUGACGAGUUUAUUCGAGUAGAUCCUAUUGCUGAGGUGAGCCACCGCAUUGUUCGUGGAGGCUUUCGUUUUAGACUCACUUAGUUCGUGUUAGUUAUUUCUUUUCUUUGGGGUUUGCAUACCCGCCAAUAAAAACUCAUAUUACUCUGUUAGAUGCUCCAUGGUCUUUUUGUGGGAUUUGGGCUAGAAUUUUAUUAUUUGGGUGAUUAUUGAUUUUUCCUAUUAAUUGACUAAGGUAUUGGGUGAUAGUCAUUACCUCUUUAGUUA